UUAAACUGUCAACCCUGAUUAGAUCAUCCGAGUCGUGCUCAACUCAAUCAGUCCUGUGACUCCUCACUAGGACUAUCCUGGCCAAGGUUUUGCUAAAUUGAAACAUGACUGUACAUAGCUCCUGAACUGGAGUGUCAAUCCCAUCUUGACACACGCACCGACAAGUCAAGUACUUGACUACACCCAGCAGCCUUCCGUCACUGAAUUAAAAAUUCAGGUAGUCCAUUGCCUAAGUGCAGUGAGUUGCUUGCAAGUCACCAUGGCGGUCUCAGAUCGGAGGGACAUUUAUACCCAUAUCCCAUCGGAGCAAAUCUUGACAGUAGA
rnacentral:lncRNA from 1 species